CCUUUAGUGUGAUGUCCAAAUCCAAGCGAGACAAGAAAGUUUCCUUAACAAAAACUGCCAAGAAAGGCUUGGAACUGAAGCAGAACCUGAGAGAAGAGCUUCGGAAAUGUGUGGACACCUACAAGUACCUCUUCAUCUUCUCUGUGGCCAACAUGAGGAACAGCAAGCUGAGGGACAUCUGGAAUGCCUAGAAGCACAGCCAGAUGUUCUUUGGCAAAAGCAAGGUGAUGAUGGUGGCCUUGGGCCAAAGCCCAUCUGACGAAUACAAAAACAACCUACAUCAGGUCAGCAAGAAGUUGAGAGGUGAAGUUGGGUUCCUUUUUACCAACUGCACAAAGGAUGAAGUGAAAGAGUGGUUCACAAAGUUUACAAAAAUGGAUUUUGCUCUAGUGGGGGACAAAGCAACUUUAACUGUGAGCCUGGAUCCAGGGCAGCUGAAGCAGUUCCCUCAUUUCAUGGAGCCACAGCUGAGGCAGCUGAGUCUGCCUACUGCCCUCAAGAAAGAUAUGGUGACCCUGCUGUCAACUAUGAAGUAUUUAAGGAGGGAGACAUGCUAACUCCAGAGCAGAUUCAUGUCCUGAAGCUGUUUGGGUAUGAGAUGGCUGAAUUCAAAGUGACCAUCAAAUAUAUGUGGGAUGCCCAGUCGGGAAGAUUCCAACAGAUGAACGAUGACCUGCCCGACAGUGCACCUAAGUCUGAGGGAGAAUCUGAGGAGGAGGGUGACAGCUGACUCUAAGAGCCAAGACUAAGGCCUUCCAGCAAGUUCUUCAUCUCCGCUGAAC